rnacentral:rRNA from 1 species
ACGAUUUAGAAGCUUGCUUUAUUGAGUCGAGUGGCAAACGGGUGAGUAACGCGUAGACAACCUGCCGCAAAGAUGGGGACAACAGUCCGAAAGGACUGCUAAUACCGAAUGUUGUAUCUCCUCCGCAUGGAAGAGAUAUUAAAGAUGGCCUCUACUUGUAAGCUAUCGCUUUGCGAUGGGUCUGCGUCUGAUUAGCUAGUUGGUGGGGCAACGGCCUACCAAGGCGACGAUCAGUAGCCGGUCUGAGAGGAUGAACGGCCACAUUGGAACUGAGACACGGUCCAGACUCCUACGGGAGGCAGCAGUGGGGAAUCUUCCGCAAUGGGCGAAAGCCUGACGGAGCAACGCCGCGUGAGUGAUGACGGCCUUCGGGUUGUAAAGCUCUGUGAUCGGGGACGAACGGUCAGCAGACGAAUACUCUGCUGAAGUGACGGUACCCGAAUAGCAAGCCACGGCUAACUACGUG